CAGGGUCUUAGCUAGAGGGCCGUGUUGGCCGUGUUAUCGCGGCCAAAAAUGGAAAAACACGGCUAGAUAAAAUGAACGCGGCUUCAUUAUUUAUAUAAGGCCGUGUAGGUUCAUAAAAUAAGAUGGUGCUACUUAGAACAGACAGAAUUUCUUUCUAUUUACGUCAUAAGAAAGUUUGUAAAAUGUUGAAUUUGCCAAAAGUGAUCCAUGAUGUUUUAAUGUUUUGAUGGAUAAUGGGAACCGUAUGCAUGGUGUUAAUUGUUAAAGUGGUUUUAAAUACCCCCAAGAGUUGCUGAAAUAACUUAAUAUUUUAAUGUCAGUGCGCAAUAUAUAUGAGCGUAUGCUCGCCUUGUAUUUGGUUGCAAAGCAAAGAACAACCACAGGCAUUGUCCAUUGUUGUAGAACCGUGAAUUUGGCUAUUCAAGGUAAUUGACAUGUGCACACCCUGGUCAUUUAGAAACACGCCCAGGAUCUAAAAUCCUAGCUAAGACCCUGCUUCCGUCCACUAUAUGGGUCAUAAGAUGAAGUAAUUCCGAACGCAAAAUUGUAACCUAUAUCACGAGCUGCAUUGUG